CUCUCAUCGAGAGGGUGGAGGGGAAGACGGCCCUGUGAAGCCCGGCAACCUGCGGCAACGCAAGGUGCCAAGUCCGCCGGCGAAAGCCGGAAGAUGAGAG
rfam:Chloroflexi bacterium GWC2_70_10 gwc2_scaffold_16976, whole genome shotgun sequence.